rnacentral:rRNA from 1 species
UACAGGGGGUGCAAACGUUGCUCAGAAUUAUUGGGCGUAAAGCGCGCGUAGGCGGCCACUUAAGUCGGAUGUGAAAGCCCCUGGCUCAACUGGGGAAGUGCACCCGAAACUGAAUGGCUUGAAUGCAAAAGAGGGUCGCGGAAUUCCCGGUGUAGAGGUGAAAUUCGUAGAUAUCGGGAGGAACACCGGUGGCGAAGGCGGCGACCUGGGUUGACAUUGACGCUGAGGCGCGAAAGCGUGGGGAGCAAACAGG